ensembl:misc_RNA 7SK 7SK RNA
GGAUGUAAGGGCCAUUCAGCGGCAAUUUCUGCCAUUCCACUGAUCACCAGGGUUGAUUUGGCUGAUCUGGUUGGCUAAAUAUGUGUCUCCUUUCUCCCCCAUGGCUCUGUGGGCCUUCCUCUGGAAACUGCAGGCUUGGUCUGAGAGGACACUCUCCUCCAAAGAGGAGGAACAUUCUUUGGUCAAGGUUACAAGGUUAUAUGAAUAGCUGCACCCUCCUGCUAGAAUUCCUUUUAG